rnacentral:rRNA from 1 species
CCUACGGGAGGCUGCAGUGGGGAAUUUUGGACAAUGGGCGCAAGCCUGAUCCAGCCAUUCCGCGUGAGUGAAGAAGGCCUUCGGGUUGUAAAGCUCUUUCGCAAGGGAAGAAAACUUAUCCUCUAACAUAGGAUGAGGUUGACGGUACCUUGAUAAGAAGCACCGGCUAACUACGUGCCAGCAGCCGCGGUAAUACGUAGGGUGCGAGCGUUAGUAGGAAGUGCUGGGGGUAAUUCGUAAGCCAGCUGUUAAAUCCCCGAGCUGAACUUGGGAACUGCGUUUGAAACGACAAGACUAGAAUAGGUCAGAGGGGGGUAGAAUCCCACGUGUAGCAGUGAAAUGCGUAGAGAUGUGGAGGAAUAUCAAUGGCGAAGGCAGCCCCCUGGGAUCAUAUUGACGCUCAUGCACGAAAGCGUGGGGAGCAAACAGGAUUAGAUACCCUGGUAGUC